rnacentral:rRNA from 1 species
GACGAACGCUGGCGGCGUGCUUAACACAUGCAAGUCGAACGGAAAGGCCCUGCUUUUGUGGGGUGCUCGAGUGGCGAACGGGUGAGUAACACGUGAGUAACCUGCCCUUGACUUUGGGAUAACUUCAGGAAACUGGGGCUAAUACCGGAUAGGAGCGCCUGCUGCAUGGUGGGGGUUGGAAAGUUUCGGCGGUUGGGGAUGGACUCGCGGCUUAUCAGCUUGUUGGUGGGGUAGUGGCUUACCAAGGCUUUGACGGGUAGCCGGCCUGGGAGGGUGAUCGGGCACAUUGGGACUGAGAUACGGACCAGACUCCUACGGGAGGCAGCAGUGGAGAAUAUUGCACAAUGGGCGGAAGCCUGAUGCAGCAACCCCGCGUGCGGGAUGACGGCCUUCGGGUUGUAAACCGCUUUCGCCUGUGACGAAGCGUGAGUGACGGUAAUGGGUAAAGAAGCACCGGCUAACUACGUG